UGGCACUUAUUGUUGGGCCAGAAGGAGC
rnacentral:piRNA from 1 species